UACGUAGGAGGCAAGCGUUAUCCGGAUUUACUGGGCGUAAAGGGCGUGUAGGCGGGUUUGUAAGUUUGGCGUGAAAGCUCCCGGCUAAACUGGGAGAGUGCGCUGAAGACUGCGUAUCUAGAGGCCAGAAGAGGGAGGUGGAAUUCCGGGUGUAGUGGUGAAAUGCGUAGAUAUCCGGAGGAACACCAGUGGCGAAGGCGGCUUCCUGGGCCUGACCUGACGCUGAGACGCGACAGCCAGGGGAGCGAAC
rnacentral:rRNA from 1 species